rnacentral:rRNA from 1 species
UACGUAGGGGGCUAGCGUUGUUCGGAUUUACUGGGCGUAAAGCGCACGUAGGCGGAUUGUUAAGUCAGGGGUGAAAUCCCGGAGCUCAACUCCAGAACUGCCUUUGAUACUGGCAAUCUUGAGGCUGGAAGAGGUUAGUGGAAUUCCCAGUGUAGAGGUGAAAUUCGUAGAUAUUGGGAAGAACACCAGUGGCGAAGGCGGCUAACUGGUCCAGAUCUGACGCUGAGGUGCGAAAGCGUGGGGAGCAAACAGG